UCGGGAAUAUUGCACAAUGGAGGAAACUCUGAUGCAGUGACGCCGCGUAUAGGAAGAAGGUUUUCGGAUUGUAAACUAUUUUAGACAGGGAAGAAUAAAGACGGUACCUGUAGAAUAAGCCCCGGCUAACUAUGUGCCAGCAGCCGCGGUAAUACAUAGGGGGCAAGCGUUAUCCGGAAUUAUUGGGCGUAAAGGGUGCGUAGACGGGAAAAUAAGUUAGUUGUGAAAUCCCUCGGCUUAACUGAGGAACUGCAACUAAAACUGUUUUUCUUGAGUGCAGGAGAGGAAAGCGGAAUUCCUAGUGUAGCGGUGAAAUGCGUAGAUAUUAGGAGGAACACCAGUGGCGAAGGCGGCUUUCUGGACUGUAACUGACGUUGAGGCACGAAAGUGUGGGGAGCAAACAGGA
rnacentral:rRNA from 1 species